GAAUCUUCGGCAAUGGACGCAAGUCUGACCGAGCAAUGCCGCGUGAGUGAGGAAGGCCCUCGGGUCGUAAAGCUCUGUUACCAGGGAAGAACGCUUGAGAGAGUAACUGCUCUUGAGGUGACGGUACCUGAGAAGAAAGCCCCGGCUAACUACGUGCCAGCAGCCGCGGUAAUACGUAGGGGGCAAGCGUUGUCCGGAAUUAUUGGGCGUAAAGCGCGCGCAGGCGGCUAAUUAAGUCUUAUGUAUAACCCCAAGGCUCAACCUUGGAUCGCAUGGGAAACUGGUUGGCUUGAGUGUAGGAGAGGAAAGUGGAAUUCCACGUGUAGCGGUGAAAUGCGUAGAUAUGUGGAGGAACACCAGUGGCGAAGGCGACUUUCUGGCCUAUAACUGACGCUGAGGCGCGAAAGCGUGGGGAGCAAACAG
rnacentral:rRNA from 1 species